GGACCAUAGCUCAGUGGUAGAGCAUCUGCCUGGCAUGCAGGAAGUCCCAGGUUCGAUCCCUGGCAUCUCCA
rnacentral:tRNA from 1 species